rnacentral:rRNA from 1 species
UACAGAGGGGGCAAGCGUUGUUCGGAAUUACUGGGCGUAAAGGGCGCGUAGGCGGCUUUGUAAGUCCGUUGUGAAAUCCCUCGGCUCAACCGAGGAACUGCGACGGAUACUGCUUGGCUUGAGUCCCGGAGAGGGUAGCGGAAUUCCCAGUGUAGCGGUGAAAUGCGUAGAUAUUGGGAGGAACAUCGGUGGCGAAGGCGGCUACCUGGCCCAUUCUUGACGCUGAGGCGCGAAGCCAGGG